rnacentral:lncRNA from 1 species
AGCCCUGCCCCCUUUACUUACUCGCCACCUCCUCCGAGAAAAAGAAGCAAAAAGAGAGAAGGAGCUAAAGCUGAGAAAAGCAGGUCUUCUACGUCUGGCGUUUGGAGCACAGGGAGACAGGAAGUGAAAGAUGGUUGUAUUUGCCUGUGCUGGCUGCAGGGCAGCUGUCUUCCUCUGGAUUUUCAGCAGCAUCAGUUGCAGAGCCAGGACUUCUCUGCCUGCUCAUGUUCAUUGGGGAAUCCUGCGUGUUCUUCCACUGAGUCUGGUCUCCUAUUUCAUAAUACUACACAGCUAGAUCUUCAGAUCAAAGGUAAUUGUGUCAAUGGUGUACACUUGAUAAUGUUAAAUUCAAGCACUUUUAAGAGUCAGUCUGGCAUGUAGGAAACAAGAUCUUCUGCCUUGGGAUCUACUGAGUAUAGGACAAAGAAAAUAAACCUAAAAUAUCUUUUUUGUAAGCA